AACGAACGCUGGCGGCAUGCCUAACACAUGCAAGUCGAACGAGACCUUCGGGUCUAGUGGCGCACGGGUGCGUAACGCGUGGGAACCUGCCCUUAGGUUCGGAAUAACUCCCCGAAAGGGGUGCUAAUACCGGAUAAUGUCUUCGGACCAAAGAUUUAUCGCCUUUGGAUGGGCCCGAGUUGGAUUAGCUAGUUGGUAGGGUAAAAGCCUACCAAGGGGACGAUCCAUAGCUGGUCUGAGAGGAUGAUCAGCCACACUGGGACUGAGACACGGCCCAGACUCUUACGGGAGGCAGCAGUGGGGAAUAUUGGACAAUGGGCGAAAGCCUGAUCCAGCAAUGCCGCGUGAGUGAUGAAGGCCUUAGGGUUGUAAAGCGCUUUUACCCGGGAUGAUAAUGACAGUACCGGGAGAAUAAGCUCCGGCUAACUACGUG
rnacentral:rRNA from 1 species